GGAACAAGGAAGAGGUGGAGGAAGAUGAGAAGAGAAGAAGAAAAGAGAAAAAAAAAAAAGGAAAGUCAAGCUAAGAGUCCCUGAAUGCUGCCAAGGAGACACACUGCUGCUGGAACACUGCACCUCCAAGCCAAGCCACAAUGCAACACAAGCCUUCUACAACACCUGCAGCCAUCAGCAACACCCAGAGUACAA